rnacentral:lncRNA from 1 species
CACAAAGUGGGCGGAGCCAAUGACGUCACCAGCGUCCUGUUUAUUAGUCACGCCGCUAAUGAGCGCAAUUAAUUUUUCCUUUUAAUUGAAUUGUUGCGUUUGAAGUGAAAAAUUUGAGGUUUUUUUCCCGCGUUUUUGGGGGUUUUUGGGGGUUUUUUUGCACCCGAAGGGAAACCCCAAAAUUUGGGGUGAAAUCCGCCGGUUUUGGGGCUCCCCGGAUUCAGAAAUUUGGGAAUUUUGGGGCUCCUCCCCCCGCCCAAAGCGGGGCCCAGGCGAGCUCCGGGAAUUUCGGGAUUUUUCCAGAACGUUCCGCCCGCGGCCGCUCCGGAACCUGGGGAGAGAGGCCCAAAAUUCACCCAAAAACCCCAAAAUUCACCCAAAAAAAUCCCAAAAUUCACCCCAAAAAAUCCCAAAAUUCACCCCAAAAACACCCCCAAAAAAUCACAAAAUUCACCCAAAAAAACCCCAAAAUUCACCCCAAAAACACCCCCAAAAAAAUCCCAAAAUUCACCCCAAAAAACCCCAAAAUUCACCCCAAAAACACCCCCCAAAAAAUCCCAAAAUUCACCCAAAAUCCCCAAAAUUCACCCAAAAAACAUCCCCCAAAAAAUCCCACAAUUCACGCAAAAAGAACCCCAAAAAAAUCCCACAAUUAACCCAAAAAAAGCCCCAAAAAUUCCUAAAAUUCACCCAAGAACCCCCAAAAUUCACCCAAAAAACACCCCCCAAAAAAUCCCAAAAUUCACCCCAAAAAAAUCCCAAAAAAAAUCCCAAAAUUCACCCAAAAAACCACAAAAUUCCCCCCCAAAAAAGCCCAAAAUUCACCCAAUAAAAGCCCCAAAAAAGGCCAAAAUUCACCCAAAAGCUCCAAAAAAUCCCAAAAUUCACCCCAAAAAGGCCAAAAUUCACCCAAAAAAUCCCAAAAUUCACCCCAAAAAACCCCAAAAUUCAUCCCAAAAAUCCAAAAAUUCACCCAAAAAUCGGCCAAAAUUCACCCCAAA